GUUAGCACCUGUGAGUAUAGUAAGUGUAUGUAACUGUAAAUGCAUGCCGUGUUUGGGAUAAUGAGGGAUAUUGUUAGAUACUGGUUAAUGCCAAUGUUAGAGUACACAGGGUGUUGAUGUUAAAAGGAUUACAAGCUUUGAGAGGGAUUAUAGUUGUGGUAUAAGGGGAGCUUAGAAUUAUUGGGUUUAGAUUUAGAGUAACGCUUUAAUGUAAACAUUGUAGUUUCUCAAAAACUGCAAUGCAGGGUUAGGAGAAC